UUAUAAAUUAUUUCUGCUGCCUCUGCACUCCUUGCUGUCGUUCGAUUCCGUUCACGUAGCUUCGACGUGCUGCCUCGUGGAUCAUCAACUCGUCGGUAGCGAGCCGCGUGGCUUGUUUCGAUAUUCCACCUAUUACUAUGGGCCUUGGUUGCGUUUAGAUGACCUCGCAUCUGCGUGGUGACUUCAGGAAACUAUUCAGUCAUGUCAAACUGAGGCUUCCAAUAGUCAACACCGGUGAAACAACGUCAUCUCGGUUAUUGACUUCAGAUACAUCGAGCAAUACGGAACAUUUGAACAAGACUGUAGCUUACCCGAGCUCCGAGCCACUACAAUUCCAUUUGACUUUAGUCAUACCGGCUGGAAUAUAAUAUAGAAUUCUGGCUGUCUAAGAGACAAGUAUUUAAA